ACUUAUAAACUGUUUGAUUCAUUUACAUCAAUAUUUGUGGGCAGAUGCUUUUAUUUGAUUCAAAGCCUUUCCUUUCAAUAUAAUAGGUAGAAGAAGAUGCCGAUAUUGAUGUUAUAGGAAAGCGGUAUCAUAAACUUGCUUUGCAGCUUCAUCCAGAUACGAACAAACACCCCAAGGCUGAGAUUGCCUUUAAGCUUGUGUUGGAGGCUUAUUCGCGUCUCUCUGACAGUGUAAAGAGACGAGCCUUCAACUCGGAGAGAUGGAAGAACUUCUGCAUUGAGUGCGAUGGAGUUCCAUACAUUCGCGGCAAUUCUCCGAACAACUUGUACACAUCAAAACUCAAGGGAUUGAAUCCUGCAAAUCACUCAAGAUUAAGCAGAAUUCUCCAAGGUCUGAAAGAAAUCAGAGAGAGGUUCAAAGAGGAAGCAAGGUGAUGGAGAACUGUUUGAAAGCUAACGCUGCAUUAAGGAAAAGAUCUCCAUUGUUUAGUACAUCUGACAAUCAAUUUCCGAGCAACUCUGGGUGCAGAUCUCGAAGAGAAUCCCCAAUUUUCGAUCCAUCUGACUACCUAUUCGAAGGCUAUCCUCAUACCAGGAACCGUGUAUACAAGAAACCUGAGGACGUUUGCUUCUCACAAAGACGGCAUUCAUCAAAUUAUGACCAAGAAACCGCAAGAUAUGAUUCUCCAAUCUUUGAGAACAGACUAAAUGGAGGAAUUUUAAAGACCAAAUCUACUUGUGUUGGGUCAUAAAUCAGGGUAAAGUUUUUCACUAGAGCCCAUAGAUGUCUGUCGAGGGGAAAAGUUUCCAUGUUUUUAUCAUUUCAAAUUUUUUGAGUGGCAUAGGAUCACCAGAGAAUCAAAUAUUUUGCUCAGAUGCUUUAUGACAUUAUAACAAAGACGGUAUGACAAACUAUCAGUGCCAGAAAGACAGGGAUAGGUAACAGAAAGAAACUAUAUUUUAG